CCUAUUUUAAAAGGCUUUUCUUGUGAAGUAAGAGAAAUAUGGCUGGUAACCACAUCACAGGGGGUAAUUGCAGUUUGGCAGGUGUGUCAUAAUGAGCAGAGAUAGAGCUCCCAACAGGAUGCAAAUGAAUUUUGGCCCCGGGCUCUUCCAGCGCGAUGCAUUCAAGUCAAUUAAGACUCUGCCACUUUCUACAACAGGGGUCAGAUUCCCUACAGAUCAUCCCAAUAUGACAUGAAAGAUCUAAGAGAGCAGCUCGGCGUGUCAAAACUUGACGCGAGCCGGGGUGGCGAUGAAAAGGAAGAGUUGGAUGAACUUUGAUAGACAUCAGAAAUCUGGGAAACAAAAACAAGGUCUAAUUCUGCCAAGAAAGAGGAAGGAUAAAAAAGGAAGGCCGUUUCUUUUGGAGAUUAUGCAAGCGUGUUUGGAUGGGAAGGAGUUCAGAUAAUAAUGAAACAAUUAAAGGCUUUAAGGGCUUGACUGGACUGAUUACGCGGUCACCACACCCCGAACCCUUUCCUUCACAUGAUGCCUCGGGCUACAACGCCACACCCCACGAAAGUGCUCCCCCUCCUGAGUGGGACGGUCUCUGUGCAGGUGGGACAGUCACAGGUCAAUCAUGAAAACUUUGGUCAUCUGGGACAUUAAGAGAGUGUUGGAACCGGAGCCCAGAGGUCUGAUGUCGGAGUGAGAAGCUAUUGUUCAGCGCUACACACAAUCUGACCAAUCUGACCCUGCUUGCUGCUCAAAACACAACUGCUCCGUUUCUUUAUCAUUUACAUCUGGAGCACAAACAGUCCAGGAUGAAUUACACAUUGAACUUUAAUAAUAGAAGUUUUCACAAACUCCGGAGAUUUUGAGAUUUGCAUGUGUCGUAUCUUCAACUUUAUGCACAAUAACCUUCAAAGCAUGCAGGAAAACACAGACUCUUGUAUUCCAACAUUCUUCUUGAGUCUAAAUCCAGUUUUCCAUGAUGCAACUCUCACACAAACACACACACUCUCUCAAUGUGUUUUUAAUCUCAAAUCCCAAAGCGUGCAAAAUGUACACAAUCCCUUGCAGAUCCUUUUCUAAAGGGCAGAAACGGAGACGAGAAACAAGAGCCAUGUUCUCUGGUGCCCUGGGCCGAACGGAUGGAGAACGUGAAGGAAAAUACAGAAGAACAUUCACAAAGAGACAAUCGAUGAUGCAUUUUGUUUGUAUGAGGGUUUAUUACAACACAUUGUUCCUAAAACUGGCCUGGAAAAUUGUUUGGCUGAACAGCAAAGUAAGAC
ensembl:lncRNA